CUGAAGGCUGGGAAGUGAACCAUGGGGACACCCGGGAGGAAGCCCCAGGAGGAGUGUGGUUUCUGUCCUCAGCGAGGCUUCCGCUUUGAGGAGACCAGAGGUCUGAGAUUAAGGCUGAGGUGAGCUUGGUUCUGUGUGGAAGUUCAGAGGGAGCGUCUGUUCCACGCUGCUCUCCCAGCUUCUCAGAACGGCCGGCCGCCCUCCGUGUUCCUUGACUGCGGAGGCAUCACUCCAGGCUCUGCUCCCACUGCCACGGGAUGUUCUCUCCGUGUGUGUCUGCAUCUGAGGCUGCGUUUUCAUCUUCUUAUAACGACACCAGUCAUUGGAUUAAGGGCACCCCCCGAUCCAGUGUGACCUUAUCUUAUCUUGACCAAUCUGCAAAGACCCUAUUUUCAAAUAAAAUAAUAUUCACAGGUA